AGAGUUUGAUCCUGGCUCAGGAUGAACGCCGGCGGUGUGCCUAAUACAUGCAAGUCGAACGCGUUGGCCCAACUGAUUGAACGUGCUUGCACGGACUUGACGUUGGUUUACCAGCGAGUGGCGGACGGGUGAGUAACACGUAGGUAACCUGCCCCAAAGCGGGGGAUAACAUUUGGAAACAGAUGCUAAUACCGCAUAACAGUUUGAAUCGCAUGAUUCAAAUUUAAAAGAUGGUUUCGGCUAUCACUUUGGGAUGGACCUGCGGCGCAUUAGCUUGUUGGUAGGGUGACGGCCUACCAAGGCUGUGAUGCGUAGCCGAGUUGAGAGACUGAUCGGCCACAAUGGAACUGAGACACGGUCCAUACUCCUACGGGAGGCAGCAGUAGGGAAUCUUCCACAAUGGGCGCAAGCCUGAUGGAGCAACACCGCGUGAGUGAGGAAGGGUUUCGGCUCGUAAAGCUCUGUUGUUAGAGAAGAACGUGCGUGAGAGCAACUGUUCACGCAGUGACGGUAUCUAACCAGAAAGUCACGGCUAACUACGUGCCAGCAGCCGCGGUAAUACGUAGGUGGCAAGCGUUAUCCGGAUUUAUUGGGCGUAAAGCGAGCGCAGGCGGUUUGAUAAGUCUGAUGUGAAAGCCUUUGGCUUAACCAAAGAAGUGCAUCGGAAACUGUCAGACUUGAGUGCAGAAGAGGAUAGUGGAACUCCAUGUGUAGCGGUGGAAUGCGUAGAUAUAUGGAAGAACACCAGUGGCGAAGGCGGCUAUCUGGUCUGCAACUGACGCUGAGGCUCGAAAGCAUGGGUAGCGAACAGGAUUAGAUACCCUGGUAGUCCAUGCCGUAAACGAUGAGUGCUAGGUGUUGGAGGGUUUCCGUCCCUUCAGUGCGUCAGCU
rnacentral:rRNA from 1 species